GGAAGUGAUGCUGCUCAAUCGCGGAGUAGCUGGGAUUGAGCUUUUUAUUCAGCUAGAAACAGGCCAACGGCUCUGUUCCUUGGACGUGGAGGUUCGGUUUUUGGCUGGGAGGAGUAGAUGAUUUUGUUCGUGGGUCACGAGAAAUAGCAUGUGAGACUUGUUGGAGCUGUGAAUCGGCUGGGAUCAAUCUAGAUACGUGAGAGGAAUUNN
rnacentral:lncRNA from 1 species